CUACGGGCCGCAGCAGUGGGGAAUAUUGCACAAUGGGGGGAACCCUGAUGCAGCAACGCCGCGUGGAGGAUGACGCAUUUCGGUGUGUAAACUCCUUUUAUAUGUCAAGAAAAUGACGGUAGCAUAUGAAUAAGCACCGGCUAACUCCGUGCCAGCAGCCGCGGUAAUACGGAGGGGUGCAAGCGUUACUCGGAAUCACUGGGCGUAAAGGACGCGUAGGCGGGUUGGAAAGUCAGGUGUGAAAUCCUACAGCUUAACUGUAGAACUGCACUUGAAACUUCUAAUCUAGAGUAUGGGAGGGGGAGAUGGAAUUAGUGGUGUAGGGGUAAAAUCCGUAGAUAUCACUAGGAAUACCUAAAGCGAAGGCGAUCUCCUGGAACAUUACUGACGCUAAGGCGUGAAAGCGUGGGGAGCAAACAGGAUUAGAUACCCCCGUAGUC
rnacentral:rRNA from 1 species